AACUUUAUAUUCAAAAAUGAUAUUAGAUUGCAAUUCUAAAGGAAUAAUUUAUAAUUAUUAAAGUUU
rnacentral:tRNA from 1 species